CGUGCAAAUCCGACUUUGGCAUUCCGAACUUCCGAUUUCGGGGGUGAAAGAGUGCCGCUGAUGGGUGCGUCCGUGCCGGUUUUGAAAGAAAUUGGUGUGGUCACCUGAAGAUGAGAUAGGCAGCUUUUAUUUCGUUUUUGCUGUUGCGUUGUUUGAAAGAGUAAGGCUGCGGACAAGGAUGCAAUAUUUUGAUUUUUUUUCUCGUGUUGUGUUCGAUUUUCUGUCGCGAUUCGGGAUGAGGGGGGACGAAAAUUUCCAAGUACGUAAAGGCCUGUUAUGGGCUGAGUGGGAACGGAACGUGUGUAGUCUUUUCUUGUCUUGGGGUUUGUUGGCAGGGGGUUGAGCAUGGCGCUUGCAGGCGGAAUGUCUUCCGGCGCUGCGAAUUGAUGAAUUUCUGUUCUGCAGUUGCUGACGUGGUAUUUUUUUUUGUUCUGUGGGUAGAGGGGAGAAUGGAGGUGUUGUGUUUUAAAUCUUUGUUUUGUUGGCGUGAAAAUUGAAUAGCGUUUGAUGGUGAACGGAAAAAGGGGAAAUUGAUCGUCUAGUGACCAGAAUUUUGAUAUUCUGUGCUUUUGCAGCCUUGAAUUUCGGAUCUCAAAUCAGA
rnacentral:misc_RNA from 1 species